AAGUCGAUUUCAUUUUUUGGCUGGAUACCUAAAACUUAUACCACUGGAGUUAAUUCGAGCUUAUCCUAGAUCGAUUUUUAACAUCCAUCCAUCUCUUCUUCCAGCUUUUGGAGGUGAAGGUUUUAUGAUACUCUGGUGAAACAAUGAAUUUUGUUGACGAGCAUUACGAUACGGGUCGGAUACUUGCACAAAAAACUGUCCCUGUUCUCGCAAAUGACACCGCUGAGGAGUUAGCCGCUAGGGUUCUACGAGAGGAACAUAAAUUAUAUGUGGAAGUGACAGUCGCUUUAUGCGAAGACGGAUAGUUUGGAGAGAAGACGGUGUUCCACUGAUUCGGAGCAAAGAAAACCAGAAGAAUAUUACUAACAUAACUGCAGCACUCGCAUUUUGUUAACGAUCUUCAGGGACACUUGUUACAGUUUAUUGAGUUAUAGUUAUUUUUGUUCUAUGUUGAUCAAGUAUAUAGUUUUAUGGGUUGUUAAUUUGUUU